rnacentral:rRNA from 1 species
AACGAACGCUGGCGGCGUGCUUAACACAUGCAAGUCGAACGCGAACGAUUUCUUCGGAAAUCUAGUAGAGUGGCGCACGGGUGAGUAACGCGUAAGUAAUCUACCCUGAUAUCUGGGAUAACAAUUCGAAAGGAUUGCUAAUACCGGAUACGCUGAUUUAUCAGGAAAGGUGGCCUCUUCAUGAAAGCUACUGUAUUGGGAGGAGCUUGCGUACCAUUAGCUUGUUGGUGGGGUAAUGGCCUACCAAGGCAACGAUGGUUAGCGGGUCUGAGAGGAUGAUCCGCCACACUGGAACUGGAACACGGACCAG